rnacentral:rRNA from 1 species
UUCUGGCUCAGGAUGAACGCUGGCGGCGUGCUUAACACAUGCAAGUCGAACGAAGAGAGCGAGAAGCUUGCUUUUGUCUCUGAGUGGCGGACGGGUGAGUAACGUGUGGGCAACCUAUCCUAAACAGGGGAAUAAUCAUUGGAAACGAUGACUAAUACCGCGUAAUGUCGCCGAAAGGCAUCUUUUGGCGAAGAGAGGAGCAAUCCGGUUUUGGAGGGGCCCGCAUCUGAUUAGCUAGUUGGUGAGAUAACAGCCCACCAAGGCGACGAUCAGUAGCCGACCUGAGAGGGUGAUCGGCCACAUUGGGACUGAGACACGGCCCAAACUCCUACGGGAGGCAGCAGUGGGGAAUAUUGCACAAUGGGCGCAAGCCCUGAUGCAGCAACGCCGCGUGAAGGAAGAAGGGUUUCGGCUCGUAAACUUCUAUCGACAGGGACGAAACAAAUGACGGUACCUGAAUAAGAAGCCCCGGCUAACUACGUGCCAGCCGCUGC